rnacentral:tRNA from 1 species
GGCCCGUUAGCUCAAUUGGCAGAGCAACUGACUCUUAAUCAGUGGGUUGCAGGUUCGAUUCCUGCACGGGUCA